CUGUUUGCGCAGUGGCAGUAUUGUAGCCAAUGAGGUUAAUCCAAGGCAUGAUUAUUGCUAACUGAAAUCUUAAACUUGCCUGGCACUGCUUAGGACAGUAUACAGGAUGACCCGUAUACAGAUUUAUUCAAAAAUACCUGUUU
rfam:Pelodiscus sinensis unplaced genomic scaffold scaffold754, whole genome shotgun sequence.